CGGACUCCUACGGGAGCCAGACUCCGUCAACAACUUCAACCGCAAGUAGACUCCGCCCGGACUCCUACGGGAGCCGGGCUCUGUCCUUAGCAUCAGCUACCGGUAAGCCUCGUCCGGACUCCUACAGGAGCUAGACUUCGCCUCUAACUUCAAUUGCAGGAAGACUCCGCCCGGACUCCUACGGGAGCCGGGCUUCAUCCUCGACUCCAGCA
rnacentral:lncRNA from 1 species